UCCCUAGUGGCUCAGAGGUUAAAGUGUCUGCCUCCAAUGCGGGAGACCCUGGUUCAAUCCCUGGGUUGGGAA
rnacentral:tRNA from 1 species